CUAUUCCAAAGUGCUACAUUUGCAUCCCUAUUACGGAAUAGGGGCCAAUGUAGACACAGCCCUAUUGAAUAGUGUUGCCCAGUGGAUCUUUGACCACAUUAGGAUCCUUUGGACUGAUAACUUGCAUUAGUUUAACACCAAGUUCAAGUGCAGACAAGAUUUUAUUACCCUGUUGGCUCAAUAGUGGUGAAGUUUGGCUGGAAUGGGCUAUAAACAACAGGAUGCAUGACUUCUGAAGCCUUUGGUGAAACAACUGUUGGGAUGUUUAUCUCUAAAUGACACUAUUUAGCACUAUAGCAGGACUUCAUGGAGACCAUGGAGUCACUGCUCAGCAUUUGCCUGUUUCCACCAGUACAGAUUAGAUGAUGGAACCCACCAGUAGAGAUUAGAUGAUGGAACCCUGAAAGUUUGUGCGGCUUCAAUCCUGCUGUCUGUUCUACUUAGUCCCAUAUCCAGUUGGGGGGGGUGUCAGAACAUAUUUAGUAUACUCAGGGUGUUUAAUUUCAUGUAAUUCAAUGUGGGAAGCUCUACCAAAAGGUGGUCCACACAUAGUAGCAACACUUCAUAAUUAUUGCUAAAUGUGGAAAGGUACAUCUAAAUUUAGACAAACAUUGCAGUCUGAAACCCAGACUGCAGAACUAAGUUGGAAUAGGGAUUUGUUUGUAUAUAACUUUUUUUUCUCCUAGGUUAGUUACUUUCUGCCAAACAUUUUGCAACAAAAUAUAAAUCUGCUACUUGUGUUAUUUUUAGUACAAAGCUGACAUGGAGACCACAUUCUGGUACAGGGGAUAUAACAGAGGAUGGAUUUUGUCACUUCUUCAAUGGACAUGGUUCUCAACCAGCUGACCAGAACAGUACCAUAAGCAGUGCCAUCAUGGCAGCAGCAGGAUUUGGACUAGCAGGAUUAGCUGUUCUCUUGGCUGUCCGAUAGGCUGAUACAGUGGAUCUUGCAAUGGAAAGAACUCUACAAACUGCCAAUUUACCAGUUAGAUUUCCGUCUAUUUUCUAUAGGAUUGACUCUUUAAGAAGAUAGUUUAUAUUUUUAAAGUUGCUUGGAGAAUUGUCGUCUUACCAGAUCCCUGGCUAUAAACUGCUUUCCUUGCUACCCAGUAACAGCACAAAUGAAAAUGUGUACCUAAACCACCAGUUGAGUGUGCACACAUUGCUUAUCAGCUCUGACCUCCCUCUGGACCGCUCUUUGAAAGAUGUAAUCUCAAUAUUGCCAUAGUUCAUUCAUGUACUGUCACUUCAGAGUAUACAAUGUUAUGCUAGAAUAAGCUAUGGCAGUCUCGCAGCCAAACCCUUUGUUCAAGGUAUUGUGUUCUAAAGUUACUCCCAUUAAAACAAAACUUCAGCUCUGCUGUAAGGUGAGCUAACACUAACUGUAAUAUAUCAUGGUGUAUAACUCCAGAUGUGAUACACUGCACAUAAAACUGAGAGGCAAUUCAUUGGUUAGUCUAGAACAAUGAGUACCUAUGUUAUAAAGAACAUUUUGGCUUAAUAUUAAGGAAAUAUGACUUUAAGGAUAGUUACAGCUACACUACAAACAGGUGAGGACUGAAAAGCAGAAAUAGCUGCAAAAUCUGUUCUUACUGAAAGGAAUUUAACUAUUAAACUUUAAUUGGUAUAUUUAGAAAUCCACUGAAGGCUGGAAUUUCUCUGGAUUUCCCUGUCAAAACCAGAAUUUCCAUAUAUCUUAAUAUAUUUUUGAAGUAUUUAUCAUUGUAUAAUACUUGUUGCCAUAACAUCUUUAUUUUUGUUGGAAAUUUCAUCUUGAAUACAGGUUCUCAUGAUGGCUCUCUAGUGUGUAUCAACCAUUGUCUCCCUUGAUCUAACAGUGUUUGUUUUCCACACGCUGUGUAUUUCUUCCUACUGUUUCUAGUAGCUUUUAACUUUCCUGGGUUACUUGUAGCUUAUAUAAUUUUAUUGUGGUGACUUAUAUGGUGAAUAAAUGCUAUUGAGUAUUUUUAUUUUAAUUAAA